UAAUGUUCUUAUAGUUGAAAUACAACGAUGGUUUUUCAUAUCA
rnacentral:tRNA from 1 species